rnacentral:tRNA from 1 species
GCGGGCGUGGCGGAAUUGGUAGACGCGCCGGGUUUAGGACCCGGUGGAGCUUGCUCCUUAGAGGUUCAAGUCCUCUCGCCCGCA